rnacentral:rRNA from 1 species
CAAUAGCGUAUAUUAAAGUUGUUGCAGUUAAAAAGCUCGUAGUUGGAUUUCUGGUGGGAGCGAUCAGUCUGGCGCUUAGCGCGAGUACUUGCAUCGUCUCCGGCCAUCCUUGGGGAGAGUCUGUCUGGCAUUAAGUUGUCGGGCAGAGGAUCCUCAUCGUUUACUGUGAAAAAAUUAGAGUGUUCAAAGCAGGCUUAUGCCGUUGAAUAUAUUAGCAUGGAAUAAUAAGAUAGGACUUUGGUACUAUUUUGUUGGUUUGCGCACCAAAGUAAUGAUUAAUAGGGACAGUUGGGGGUAUUCGUAUUCCGUUGUCAGAGGUGAAAUUCUUGGAUUUACGGAAGACGAACUACUGCGAAAGCAUCUACCAAGGAUGUUUUCAUUAA